rnacentral:rRNA from 1 species
UCCGUAGGCGGUGUGGCAAGUCGGGAGUGAAAUCUCUGGGCUUAACCCAGGAGCUGCUUCCGAAACUGCCGUGCUAGAGUGCGAGAGAGGUGAGUGGAAUUGCAGGUGUAGCGGUGAAAUGCGUAGAUAUCUGCAGGAACACCCGUGGCGAAGGCGGCUCACUGGAUCGCAACUGACGCUGAGAGACGAAAGCUAGGGGAGCAAACA